UUCCUGCAAAGCCCUGGCGCUGCCUCCAGCCCAGACAUCCCAGCCUCGGUUUGCACAGGAUCCCGAGCCUCCCGGCUGCCUCGCUUUAGGCUCUUUCUCCCAAAAGUCAUCUCCAAAGAGAGCUGUCAGCAGCGCCGACGCGAUAACAGACUUUGUUGGCAGUGCUGGUAAACAAGUGCCUUGGAAACCUCGGCUGAAAAUAGAGUUGUGGCUGUCUCCUGCUCUCCCGGGGAGCGCGGAGCAUCCCCCAGCUGAAGCCCUCUCUGCGAAGUCCCCAGAUAGCUCGGGGUGCUGGUGGAGCUGCAGACGUGACGUGGGCGUUCCGGAUGGGCUUGAUGGCUUGGAGCCUUCCCCUGGGUCCCCAGCGGGGAAGCACGCGAGGCAGCCCUCAGCCGAGCCUGCGAUAACUGCCCACGUCUUUUAGGACAGAUGAUACGUUUUAUGGGCUGCCGUAAAAGCAGAAGGAAACUCGCACAAAUCAGGCAAAACCGCCGUUUCCCCAGAAUGAGCCUUUCUUCUCUGAGCAGCGCGGCUCCUGGGGGACCCCGGCGGUGCUGGGGAAUGCGCCCAAGCACAUGGCCCCAAACGGGGCACCCGUGGCAGUCCCAGCACGGUGUCUGUCCUGGGAAACACAGCUCUGCUUGAUGGAGCACGGAGGUGAGUGCUGCUGCUCCCAGGGGAGACCUGCUGGAGCAGGCUGAGCUGCUCUGGUUUCCUACCAGCACGUCCUUGCCCUGCAAACAGCCCCUCUGUGUUCAGACAGCCCCUCCUCUUAAGUGCGGGUUUAGUGGCCCCAGUAAGAGGUCAGAAACACAGUGAUUCAGGGCUGGAAAUUACCCAGGGUUUGGGGAAAAGGAGGUGUUUGAAAUUAUUUGGUUUUGCUGCAGAGCAAAUGGUGGAAUUGUGGACCUGGCCACCAGAUGCUCACCCUGGCUCUCCCCCCGUUACGUUCGAGCCCUGCAGGCGUGCUGAAAGCCUCGGAUCAAAGCCCAGUAAAAUAUGGUUCAGCAAGAGCAUUAAGGUAUUCUUUAGGUAUGAAAUUUAUGGUGUGUAAUUAAGAUGGCAAUAAUGAGAGGUUAUUCAAUAAUUCAUGCCUUCUUAUGAAUUAUUUGGUGCGUGCUUAACUUCGGGGCUGAUGUGUUACUUAGCAGUGAGCGCCCCCAGAGCCCUUCCAGGGCAUGCUGCGGGUGCUGCUGGCCCCGGAGCCCCCUCCUCACACCCUGCUGUCCCCAGGGGCUGCGGCAGGGACCUGUCCAUCCUGCCGGGCUCAGCACCCGGGGGAAGCACGGCCCUGGGGACCCGCGGGUGCUGCCCACCGUUGCCUCCUCCUGCCCGCAGCCUGGGCACAUCCCUCCCCGCCAGCGUUUUGCCUGGCCUGGUGGGAAACCGUGCCAAGGCUCAUCUCCUCCGAAGCGGGGCUCGAGCACCGUGUUAGCAUCAUCACCGAUCACAGACCCAGCGAUGGCAUUUUCUCGUGCCCCAUUUGCACCGUGCGCAGGCUUUCCCUGCGGGCUGAACCUCAAAUCCCUGCUCUGUGCCCCUUGGGCCGAUGCGUGAGGCCCUGAUGUCGCAGGGACUAAUCAAGCGUGAACGUGCAGCAGCAAAAAACUGGGGGAUCUGCUCAGGGGAGUAAAUCUCAGAGCCUCACGGCCUGCAGCUGCCCCAUCGCCGUGCCUGCCCCAUUCCAACCAGCACUUGGGAGCACCAGGCGUUGGCCACAAGGCACGAAAGGCAGCUUCCCUUUCAGUCUGGCUUUUAGCCAUUUGUUUCUUGGAGCGGGCUGCAGUUCAGGUCUGGCACAUGGUGUGUGAUGUCCCACCGAGGGUCU